rnacentral:lncRNA from 10 species
GCUGUACUUUCACCACUUGACUUUCUUAAUAAACUUACUUUUGCUUUGCACUGCUGACUCGCCCUGAAUUCUUUCUUCUUGAGAUCCAAGAACCCUCUCUUGGGGUCUGGAUCAGGAUCCCUUUCCUGUAAUAUCUUUCUGGCAACCACUGAAGGGACUACAGUGAGGAAAUCCUUGACCCAAAGGCUAACUUUAGGCUGAGGAACAGAAGAGACUGAUCACAUUUAUUCCUGUGAGCCAACC